AAAAACCAGAAAGCAAAUAGGCUCAGAAGAGGAAACAGGGACCCUGUCAGCAGCUGAGAAAAAGAAACCUAAGGCAGACCAGACCUGAACAGAAGCAGGAACAGCUAGAAAGUUCAGCCACUGCCCUGUGGCCUUUGAAGAAGGCCCAGAGUUGCCUUCAGAGCACCCGGGGUAUCCCCCACCCCCAAAGCCCACCUGAAGCCUGUCCUGGCUACACUUGGGUUUCCUGGUAUCUGGAGUUUCUCUAAAGACAGCUCAGACCAGAGCUGUGCUGAAAAUACACAUCAAAAUUGAAGACACACUGCUCUCCUGGCUGUAUUCCACCUGGAUGACCCUGGCACCUGAAAACUGCUUCUUACAUUCAGCAAAAUGCACGUGCUGGGCCCAAGAGGACCUGGUGGCUAUUUGCAGAGAGAAAUCUGUCCCAUCCAGAUGUUGCUAGCCUGGCCCUGCUGCUCACCUCCCACUGCUCUGUGACCUUGGGAGCUUUGGAUCUCCACCUAGGAUGAACUCCAAUUCCAGAUUGAAGCCAUCCAUAGCAGGGGAUACGGAAAGGGGACUGUUAAACCACCAGCAAUCUAGGCAGCAAAAACCUUGUAUUCCUUUGCCUGAUUGGCCCUUGGGCCGUGUUAUGGAGGAAGGUCCCUGCUCAUCUGGGCCUGGAGGCUCUACACCCAGCAGGGCACUUGCUGUAGUUUGGGAAAAGGGAUUGGGCUUCAGUCUUCAGAAUGGAUGGAAGCUGCAAAGAAGAGUGAAUUUAAAUCACAGCAGAAUCAGUCCAGUCUCUGCCAAACCCAGAUUCUAAUUCAGGAGCCUGAACCACAGCAGGAGAAACUAAGUAAUUCUCCUGGUGUAGACACUGAACCUCCCACCAGCCCUGCUCCUAUUCGACAUUUAUUUACAGAAGAGACAUUCAACUUCAAAGGCUGAUUUUAUGAAAAAUUCAGCCUUUCUGAGAAGGAUCAACUUCUCAUUUCGAUCAUGAAGAUCAGCAUCGAUAGUGUCCCAGGAGACACCAUCAACAGGGUAAAGCAAAUGUCUUGAGGCAAGAUCCUGCCUCCCAGAGCAGGAACCAGCUUCUCUUCAGAAAGGAGCUGUGCACCUGAACAACAGAGCCUUCCUGAGACCACACUUGUAGAUGCUAAACUGGGCUGGACCAGAUCAGGGAUCCUGGAGUGCACUAGAGCCUGUAAAGAAGUCUCUGGAUACAAAACUCUAUCUUCUUCCCUGAGAUAUUAUCGACAGCAUAUAUCUGGAAGAAGCAGAGAGUAGCAUUGUGUUUUUUUGCAUACAGCCAGCCCCAAGAAGUCUCCAAGCAGAGACCAAAGAAGCUUUGAGGAAGGAAGGAGGUUGAGAGCAGAGUUGCACCAGGCCGUUCAGAAGGGACAUCUUGAAGAGAACUCCUGGUUCUGGAGAAAGUAAGGCAUGGAACCAGAGAUAACCUGGGAACUUGGGAACUUGCUGGUGUUUCAGUCUUCAGAGAGCUGAAGGAAAUAUCUGGGUACCCAGAUGUGGUGGUGGACCCACUGCACCUCCCAAUGCAUGCACUCUGAUUGCAAUUGAUAGCAUAUCAACAUGGAAUCUUUGCCAUUUUUAAUAAAUAUAUUGGCUCAUUUAUUC